UACGUAGGGUGCGAGCGUUGUCCGGAAUUAUUGGGCGUAAAGAGCUCGUAGGCGGUGUGUCACGUCGGCCGUGAAAACCUGCAGCUUAACUGUGGGCGUGCGGUCGAUACGGGCAUCACUGGAGUUCGGCAGAGGAGACUGGAAUUCCUGGUGUAGCAGUGAAAUGCGUAGAUAUCAGGAGGAACACCGGUGGCGAAGGCGGCAUCCUGGACCGGCAUUGACGCUGAGGAGCGAAAGCCAGGGGAGCAAACGGGG
rnacentral:rRNA from 1 species